CAGAGCCUGGACUUGAACCCGAUCCAACAUCUCUGGAGAGACCUGAAAAUAUCUGUGCAGUGACACAAGAAGCCUUAAGGCUGUAAUCACUGCCAAAGGUGUUUCAAGAAAGUGCUGUGUAAAGGGUCUGAAUACUUAUGUAAAUGUGAUAUUUUAAUAAAUGUUUUAUAUUUAUACGUUUGCAAGUAGGCAGUAGGCAAUAAUUUCCUUUCUUUUUCGGCAUCAGACAUGACUAACUCUCACUUGAAACAUCGUUUUUGUAUUUAACAGGCUAAAUUACACUAUGUUAACAUAUGAACCCAACGUGAUCUCUUCUCCCCGGGCGCCGAAGACGGGGAUGUCGAUUAAGGCAGCCCUCCGCACCUCUCUGAUUCAGAGGUGUUGGGUUAAAUGCGGAAGACACGUUUCAGUUGAAUGCAUUCAGUUGUACAACUGACUAGUUUGACAGCAUACAUCGCUGCUGAUGACAGUAUACAUUUCCACUUCAACAAAAUACCUGCCAGACUGGUUCUUUCUCUUUAUAUGAAGAAGAUGAGGUGGAAAGACAUGAGCACAACUCUACAGCAAGAGUGAUUCCGACUACGCUUGGACCAUUCUGGCCGCGCGCUUCUGGGACCGUUCUGGCUACGCUUCCGGGACCGUUCUGGCUACGCUUCCGGGACCGUUCUGGCUACGCUUCCGGGACCGUUCUGGCUACGCUUCCGGGACCGUUCUGGCUACGCUACCAGGACCAUUCUGGCUACGCUACCAGGACCAUUCUGGCUACACUUUCUGGGCCAUUCUGACUAUGCUUCUGGGGCCAUUCUGGCAACUCUGCCUCUACUCUGUUUAGAUGAAUUACUAGAAACUGCAGAGUGAUAACUGCCACCUCACUGUGCUCAUCACGGAUUUGGACAACAUGCUAUUUAAAGGUAAUUUAAGAUGACAUAUGCAGGGUUUACUAUGAAUCUGGUCUCUGCGAGCGAACUCAGGAACUUUGCCUUUAAAAGGUGCAUUGCAUACAUUGCUGAUUGGUUAAAAGUCAAUUCCACAAGUCACCACCUGCUAAAUCUAUGAUGUUAAAAUGCCUAUUUACUCUGUUCCAUCUGACUGCGCAAUCCACCGUCUCAUCAGCCCAGCCAGGCAAUUUAUAAACUUGAUCUCCACUAUAAAAAACUUCUAGACAUUAUCUCACAUUUACUAAAGAUUUUCAUUUAGUUUUCAACAGUGGAGAUUUGUAAUAACCUUGCUGUCUGUCUCUCCGACAUUUGCAACAUUGUUUCAAUAUUAAAAUUGGAUCUCCAGCUGUCCUAUAGUAAGGAACGUGUCGGGAGUCAGGACGAGACAGACAGACAGACAGGCAGCUUCUCUUAGCCAGUCUUGAAUUAUGAAUCAGCUGGCAUCAUUUUUAUGGAUAUAUACAAAGAAAUAUAAAUUGAAAAAAGGUACCGCGAAAUGAAGUAGUGCUAGUGUGCAGUCUUUCCAGCUUCAGUUUGAAGUGAUUGUGUUAGCUGUGUUGGCUAGCUCCUGUGAACAAAAGUAUCCUGAUGAGAGAGCACAUUUUCUAUGCCAGGCUAAAUUGUGCCUCAUUAGCUCAUUGUUAUGGAUGUAUCCAAAUAAAUGUCACUAGAAAACAGUUUAAACAAAUGCAAAUGCAGCUACUGUUAUUCUGGCUGCACUGUUUGAUGUGCUGUAAAUUAGCUGUAGUUGACUAGCUAGCAAGCAAGGGAUAAGAACGUUGCCAGCUAGUAUGACAAUGGAACAUUUAGAACGGACAACUGGGUCGCGUCCAUAGAUACAGAACAAAAAGACUGAACGACUGGUUCGCAUCUCUGGCAACCGAAUCGAUAGAACAACCAGCCGGCUUGGGUAACAACCCUAGAUUUGUGUCGGGACUAUAUCUUGUGGAAGGGUGAAAUAGUAUGAAUAAAUUCAGCAAAAUAACGUUUUUAAUUAAAUUAUGUAUAUCAUUAUUUGAAUAUGUUGGUUAACCCUUUGUAUGCCCUCAAUAUUUUGGCACGGUUUGCUGGCCCUGGACUUCGUCUUGGGCCUAACAACACCCGUGCCAAUAUAUCCUCCAAACACCGGCUUCUCGGGCAUUAUCACUUAAUUAUUCUAUCAGCAUUGUGCAAUGGGGAUAACAGUUCUAACUACAUAUAGUACAACAACAAUUUUUUUUUUUUAAAUAAUGAAAUGUAUGCAUUCACUACUGUAAGUCGCUCUGGAUAAGAGCGUCUGCUAAAUGACUAAAAUGUAAAUGUAAAUAUAAUAGAUAAUCUUUGCUAUAUUACAAAGCAUCAUGCCCCUAAGCCCGACAUCCACCUGGCACAGGAAGAUUUAAGUGUCCUCCCCAAGUCCCUCCCCAAUAGUACCCGCAAAACACAAGUCUCAACGUCAACAGUGAAGAGGCGACUCCGGAAUGCUGGCCUUCUAGGCAGAGUUGCAAAGAUAAAAAGCCAUAUCUCUGAUUGGUCAAUAAAAAGAAAAGAUUAAGAUGGGCAAAAGAACACAGACACUGGACAGGGGAACUCUGCCUAGAAGGCCAGCAUCCCGGAGUCGCCUCUUCACUGUUGACGUUGAGACUGGUGUUUUGCGGGUACUAUUUAAUGAAACUGCCAGUUGAGGUCUUGUGAGGCGUCUGUUUCUCAAACUAGACUCUCUAAUGUACUUGUCCUCUUGCUCAGUUGUGCACCAGGGCCUCCCACACCUCUUUCUAUUCUGGUCAGAGACAGUUUGCACUGUUCUGUGAAGGGAGUAGUACACAGCGCUGUAUGAGAUCUUCAGUUUCUUGGCAAUUUCUCGCAUGGAAUAGCCUUCAUUUCUCAGGACAAGAAUAGACUGACGAGUUUCAGAAGAAAGGUUUUUGUUUCUGGCCAUUUUGAGCCUGUAAUUGAACCCACAAAUGCUGAUGCUCCAGAUACUCAACUAGUCUAAAGAAGGAGUUUUAUUGCUUCUUUAAUCAGGACAACAGUUUUCAGCUGUGCUAACAUAAUCGCAAAAGGGUUUUCUAAUGAUCAAUAAGCCUUUUAAAAUGAUAAACUUGGAUUAGCUAACACAACGUGCCAUUGGAACACAGGAGUGAUUGUUGUUGAUAAUGGGCCUCUGUAUGCCUAUGUAGAUAUUCCAUAAAAAAAUCUGCAGAUUUCAGCUACAAUACUCAUUUACAUUAACAAUGUCUACACUGUAUUUCUGAUGAAUUUGAUGUUAUUUUAAUGGCCAAUUUUUUUUUGCUUUUCUUUCAAAAACAAGGACAUUUCUAAGUGACCCCAAACUUUUGAAUGGUAGUGUACUUAAGUAUCAGAAGUAUUUUUUCUUUGUUUAACCUUUCUUUAACUAUGAAAGUCAGUUAAGAACAAAUUCUUACUUACAAUGACAGCCAAAAACUAACCCGGACGACACUGGGCCAAUUGUGCGCCGCCCUAUGGGACUCCCAAUCACCGGCAGUUGUGAUACAGCCUGUAAUCGAACCAGGAUCUGUAGUGACACCUCUAGCACUGAGAUGCAGUACCUUAGAGCGCUGCGUCACUCGGGAGCCCAAAGUAAAUGCUGUAAAUCAUAUAUUAAGCAAACCAGAUGGCACAAUUUAAUUUUUUUUCAUUUACAGACAGCCAGGGGCACCCUCCAGCACUCAGAUAUCAUUUACAAACAAACAAAGCAUUUGUGUUCAGUGUGUCUGCUAGAUUAGAGGCAGUAGGGAUCCCCUGUUCUCUUGAUAAGUAUGUGAAUUGGACCAUUUUCCUGUCCUUCUAAGCAUUCGAAUGUAACGAGUACUGUUGGAUGGCAGGAAAAAUGUAUGGGAGUAAAAAGUACAUAUUUAUUUUAGGAAUGUAGUGGAGUAAAAGUACUCAAAUCUAUAAAUAGUCAAGUAAAACUGGGGUGAAAGUAACACCGGGUAAAGUAACACGCCCAUUUUCUCAGAUAACACAGAAACUGGAAUGACGAAGUGAAGUCCGCAAGUUCCUAAUGUGGAGGACGAGCUCCCUGCAAAAAAAAAAAACAGUUAUCAACAAAAAGUGGUUUUGAGCGAUGUAUGUUAAAAAAAAUGGACCCAGAAGUAUUUUUCAGUCGUAGUGUUGUGUUUAGUUGUUUAAGAUUCCAAACAUGUCAUUUUCUUAACCCAUCUAGUGACUAAAUGACAGAAUAGGUUUUAAGUAUCAUGCUAGCUAGUCUUGGGUGUUAGCCUGGGAGAAGUUACAGGAGAGAAGGGUGGGACGAAUGCAACAACGUAAACUGAUGACCUGGAAUAAAAAAUAAUAAAAAAUACAAUUGUUUAAGCACAGGCCAUUGUCUCCCCUGGUUCAAAUUGCUUUUAUAAUGUUAGCAAAAUAUCAACAAAUGACUGAAUGUUUAAAAGUUAUAUGACAUCAUUCGAAUUAUGCCCUAAUCAAUUGCCUUAAUGGAUCAGUGAGAACACCUAAACUUUUAUCUGCAGGUAGCCUAGUGGUUAGAGCGUUGGGCCAGUAACCGAAAGGUUGCUAGAUCGAAUCCGAGCUGACAAGGUAAAAAACUGCCGUUCUGACCCUGAACAAGGCAGUUAUUCCACUGGUCCUAGGCCGUCAUUGUAAAUAAGAAUUUGUUCUUAAUUGACUUGCCAAAAAAAA
rnacentral:lncRNA from 1 species